AUUGAACGCUGGCGGCAUGCCUUACACAUGCAAGUCGAGCGGUAACAGGUUAAGCUCACGUGUGGCGAACGGGUGAGUGAUGUAUCGGACCUUGCACAGUCGCGGGUGAUAACUGCUCGCAAGAGCAGCUAAUACCUCAUACGACCUGAGGGCGGAGGCGGAGGAUCGCAAAACCUCGCACGAUUGGCGCGGCCGAUAUCCGAUUAGGUAGUUGGUGGGGUAAAGGCUUACCAAGCCGACGAUCUGUAGCUGGUCUGAGAGGAUGACCAGCCACACUGGGACUGAGACACGGCCCAGACUCCUACGGGAGGCAGCAGUGGGGAAUUUUGGACAAUGGGCGCAAGCCUGAUCCAGCCAUGCCGCGUGCGGGAAGAAGGCCUUCGGGUUGUAAACCGCUUUUGUUAGGGAAGAAAAGGUUCUAGCUAAUACCUUGGACUCUUGACGGUACCUGCAGAAUAAGCACCGGCUAACUACGUG
rnacentral:rRNA from 1 species